rnacentral:lncRNA from 1 species
CCGCGAAGUCCUUAUAUUCCCGGGCUUCUUUCUCCUUUGGGUACCAGCUCCUUACUGUCCUGUAGGCGUCCGUGCUUGUGGCCAAGAUAAAGAGGACUUAAAUUCUUAAAUCUCAGAAGGUCCAAGGGUCUGUGUUCACAGACAUCUCGAGGCGAGAAAAGGAGGAAACUAUCCCGAAUCUUCACAGGAGCCCUUAAUUAGGAAUCAUAAACCAUUAUAAGGAGACUCCUGCACAACUCAGCUGAAACAGGAUAAAUGGUGAGUGUGCAUAUUAACAUAGCUUUAUAAUUAUUGUUUUAUGCAUUUGUCUUUUAAGUCAUAUAGGAAAAAGAAGAGGAG